rnacentral:sRNA from 1 species
UUUUAAUCAACCACUAUAAUAUUAGACGCUCAAAUUUCAGAUAUCUAUCGAACCCUAUUUACAGUUUUCAGAUCAAACGCUAUCAACCACCAGAUCUCAUCCAAUUCGCUUAUGUCGACGAUUUUUCGUCCCUAAACUACGGAGAUGAAGUGCUUCCUUUCUCGAGAUGUGGAGGCGCGAGAAGGAGGAGAACAAUGCGGUUUUCUCCUUCUUCCUCUGAAAAAAAAACGCCGACGAGCUCGACGUUAUUGCCGAUGCUGCUGCUCCUCCGUAUUCUGACACUGCGUAGGCGCGACGGUUUCUAAGACUGUUAGAGCGAUGGCGCCGCAGGGGAAAAUUCGGGUGGAUGAGUUUUGAAUUCAGAGGAUGAGAAGUCUGAUUACGACUGGAUCAGGGUUCUUUAUACUGCCACAUUGAAUUCCAAGAUCAUGUUGCAGAGAAAGGUUUUGGUUGGAAGAGUUGUGCUAUAAGGUGCUACUAGAGAUUGCUUACCAGUUACAACUAUGCUAAAUCAAUUGAAGAGUGGGGUUCACUCUGCAAUACACACUGAAGGUUCACGGUCCUUCAACCGAGAACUGAAAAUUUUGAUUGCAAGGUGGUUGGUGGUUCUAAUUCAUGAGGGUUUAUAACUCAAAUAUCAACUAAUACAUUUACGGAUUUCUGCAAAUUUGAAGUGUGGUUGGCUUGCUGGAGAUGUGUCUUCUUGAAGAAAUGAUUGCAGAGAAGAUGAAUAUCAUUGGAGGACCAAGGUUGGAACUAGGACUUGAGUUUGUUUUAGAGUGAAACAAAGUCUACAUGUUUUGGUACACAACUGUAGCAUAACUCGGUGAUUUGGUAUUCUUAAUAGAACUACUCAUUUUGUUGUUAACUUUUAGUGUAAUAUUUGAAUAUGUGAAUUUUUAUAAAUUAAAUAUGCAAUUUUGUACAUAAAUAUUUAUUUGUUUAUUGAUUAAAUAAUUUUUU